UACGUAGGGUGCAGGCGUUAAUCGGAAUUACUGGGCGUAAAGCGUGCGCAGGCGGUCUCUUAAGACAGGUGUGAAAUUCCCGGGCUCAACCUGGGGGCUGCGCUUGAUACUGAUGAGCUUGAAUGCGGGAGAGGAUAGUGGAAUUCCCAGUGUAGAGGUGAAAUUCGUAGAUAUUGGGAAGAACACCGGUGGCGAAGGCGGCUAUCUGGCCCGUAAUUGACGCUGAGGCGCGAAAGCGUGGGGAGCAAACAGG
rnacentral:rRNA from 1 species